CCUACGGGAGGCAGCAGUGGGGAAUAUUGGGCAAUGGGCGCAAGCCUGACCCAGCAACGCCGCGUGAAGGAAGAAGGCUUUCGGGUUGUAAACUUCUUUUCUCAGGGACGAAGAAAGUGACGGUACCUGAGGAAUAAGCCACGGCUAACUACGUGCCAGCAGCCGCGGCAAUACGUAGGUGGCAAGCGUUAUCCGGAUUUACUGGGUGUAAAGGUCGUGUAGGCGGGACUGCAAGUCAGAUGUGAAAACCACGGGCUCAACCUGUGGCCUGCAUUUGAAACUGUAGUUCUUGAGUACUGGAGAGGCAGACGGAAUUCCUAGUGUAGCGGUGAAAUGCGUAGAUAUUAGGAGGAACACCAGUGGCGAAGGCGGUCUGCUGGACAGCAACUGACGCUGAGGCGCGAAAGCGUGGGGAGCGAACAGGAUUAGAUACCCCGGUAGUC
rnacentral:rRNA from 1 species